UCCGGUAUGGUGUAACGGCUAACAUUGCCGCCUUUCAGAUUCCUUCUGGGAUUAGCGCGCGGCAGCUCGGGGUUCGAUUCCCCGUACCGGAA